UGUUGCAACAUGAAUGCGCGUGCUCGCUGUCGUUGUUGAACGGCCCUGAAAGCGCUGCGUUAGGGGCGAGUGCAACCGAACAUUACGGCAAGUUACGAUGGGAACUUCUUUCCGUGCUACGUGAUUGCGACGACAAGAACGGCCAGCAGUAGCGUGUCGCCGAUUUCGUCUUGGCCGACACCGAACAAGUAUAGCUCGCCGGACCGUGGCUAGCACCCGAAGUGUUGCGGUCUGCACUGCGUCGUCUUUCAUCGUGAUGUGAGAGAUCGUAACGCACAGAGACUGCCGGAUGCAUACGAAAGCCUACCAGCAGGGAGUGACAGUGCCAUUUUUCUAUUACCGUCUCAGGUAUUGAAGAAGCGGCAACAGCCACAGAAAGUAGCCAUCUUAUCCAGCACGUUAUGGGUAGAACUUGGCGGCUCCUGCUCCUGCCUUCCACCACCACCCUGUCCCGACUGCUUCCACUAGAGAGUUGGCAACCUUAGUGAUGAUGCCAAGCAGUCCGAUGGCAGACGGCAAGAUGCAGGUUGCUGCGAAAUUUUACCCGAGCUGGGCCACACACUUGAGCCAGGCCUCUUGGAAAGGAUGCCAUAAUCAGACUCCACG